ensembl:lncRNA
GCGGGGGCGGGGGCGGGGCCCGGGCCCUCUGGGCACUGAGACUGUGCCACCGCUGCCUCCUUCCAGGGUGCAGGGUCUGCACGGAGCUGCUCUGUCUGCCUGUGGGCCACAUGCUGCCACUCAUCCGGGCAAAGGAGCUUCUAGCCCCGUGUCUCCAUCAGUCAACCUGGGGUCUGACCUAGCACUCCACAGGGGCCCCCGCACCCAAGGUGGCAGGGCUUGCCUCUCUGGAGGCGGCCAGGAGCCACACUGCAGAAGCUUGGGCCACAGGGGCUCCCCAAACACCCACCCUCUGCCCCGGGCAGUGCUGGCCAUCAACUUAAGGUGAGGGCUGUGCAUGGCUGGAGGAAGCAGGCUGGACACGGGUCCCUGCUCUGCAGUGUCCUUGGCACACCCCCUACAGGCACCCCAGCUCUUUGACGGGGGUCAGCAGACCCCAGCUCGACGGGGGCCCGCCACGACUGCAGAGGAGGAAAGAGCACAAGUGCGGGGCAGCCUUGGAGGCACUUGCAUCUGAGCCGCCACACCUGCCUAGGGGACAGCCGGACAGUGUGGUGUCACCUGACCGCUGUGUGCCUGCACACCUUCAGCACAAGUGCCAGGGUCUGCCUGAGCGAGCCGAGGCCGACACCCACAGGGCCACUGUCCUGCGAAGGGACCGCCGCCACCUCGCUGCGCCCGCCCAGCGGCCCCGAGCACAGGGCGCCUGGGACACUCCUGCAGCGGGCCUGCCGUCCUCUGGCGGCGCGGGGCUGCCCUUCUGUCUUCACACGUCCACACUGUCGCCAGGCUCUACCCUCCACAGCCCGAGGGGAGGCCUUGAAACCACGCAUUUCGGUACCCUGAUAGAAGACGGGACGGAAACCCAGGAGGGAAGCGAACUCUCAGUCUCUCGAGAGCAGCAAGUUCCUCUGUAAAGGGAAGGCCUGCCCUUCCCUGAGCACACGGUGGCCCGGACACACAGUGCCCGCCCCUCCAGGCCCCUCAGGCGGCUCCCUGCUCCUCUGUGUGCAGAAGUGGGACGUGCAGAGCAAGCGGUGUCCACAGGGCUCGGGGUCACUGCAAUGGAUUUCUGUGUGGGUGGGUUUUUUCCUUAUACAAGCACCGCUUUUUAAGACAAGAAGAAACAGCUUGGGUACGACACAGUUCCAACCAACAUGACAAGGAAACAUUUUUACUGACUGACCUACCUUUUAUAAAGCCUGAGUCAUUUAAUAGGUGGUUCUGUUUCUUCCUGAAAGGUCUCAGUAAUACCUGUUCCUCGUUCUUGGGAAAGUCACUCAAAGUCUUGAGGGAAAACCAAGACUGCACCCAAGAGGGUGCAGGAGCGCCUCUCUGCCCAGGCUGUGCACGGCAGGCCGCGCCGGCAGCCGCUGCCUCAGGGUCUGUCGGCACUGCGGCUGCGUGGAGGCCACGCGCUCUGGGCCUCGCGUGGCGGCUUCACACUGCCGCCCCUCCACCACACGGACCCGCGGGCCCGGGGCUGAGCCUCCUGCCAUGCUGCCUGUCCGCCAGAUGUCCCUGCCGCCCACCCUUACCUCUCCACAGCGAGCCGCAACACACGUCUGCGUUUUAUUUCAUAGGAAGUUGGGAACAGAGUACAAAGAACACAAAACUCAUUCUUGUUUAUGUUUGUAUCACAGCCAAUUGAUUUUAGGAUUUAACCUUAGUAACAACGUUAUCUACUGACUGUUAGGAUUCAAAACCAGUUAAGUGAUAGGAGUUUUCCUAAGUAGUAUUUAUAAAAUAUAAGGUUCCUCAAAGAUUUUCCUCACAGACACAGUUCCAUCAGGGUGACUGUCUCAACCCAGACUCUAGACAACACAUGCUGUGCCUGACUGCUGGGCCCAGGCAGUCCCCAGACAGAAUGGGGACACGGAGACAGUGGCUGCCGCUGCGACACGUCUGUGGAUGAUCCCUGGCGGCAACCAUGCCUACCCCCACCGGCUGUUCAUUCAGGGGGCACGUGCUCAGAGAACGAGCCUGCAUCGCUCUGUGCUGAUGCUAAAAGAGAAUGCUCAUCAGACAGGGCUGCACUCAGACCCCGAGAGCCCGCCCUUGGAAGGCCCAACCCUCGUGGGGGCAGCAGGGGCCCCAGGAAAAGAAGAGCCCGGUCAGCUUGCUGCUCUCUGACAAUUCAAAACUUUUACCAUUUAGUUUGAGGCUCCUUUUUAAAAACAAAAUUUCUGAUCAGGUGUUCGCUAAAACUGAAGUGUUACUUUGUCAAAAUAUUUAUUCCUUUGUGUGACAUGCUAGAUUCCCAUGGAUGUAGCUGAUCAUUUCUACUGUAAAUAUUACCUAACUUUACAUAAACGAUGUCAUAAUAAACUAUUUUUGCAUCACCC